rnacentral:tRNA from 1 species
GACUGCGUAGCUCAGUUGGAAGAGCAUUGGGCUAGUAUUCCAAAGGUCGUAGGUUCAAAUCCCACCGUGGCCG